CCUACGUGCGGCAGCAGUAGGGAAUCUUCCACAAUGGGCGAAAGCCUGAUGGAGCAACGCCGCGUGGGUGAAGAAGGUCUUCGGAUCGUAAAACCCUGUUUUUAGAGAAGAAAGACCUUGCGAGUAACUGUUCACGUUUCGACUGUAUCUAACCAGAAAGCCCCGGCUAACUACGUGCCAGCCGCCGCUGUAAUACGUAGGUGGCAAGCGUUAUCCGGAUUUAUUGGGCGUAAAGGGAACGCAGGCGGUCUUUUAAGUCUGAUGUGAAAGCCUUCGGCUUAACCGGAGUAGUGCAUUGGAAACUGGGAGACUUGAGUGCAGAAGAGGAGAGUGGAACUCCAUGUGUAGCGGUGAAAUGCGUAGAUAUAUGGAAGAACACCAGUGGCGAAAGCGGCUCUCUGGGCUGUAACUGACGCUGAGGUUCGAAAGCGUGGGUAGCAAACAGGAUUAGAUACCCUUGUAGUC
rnacentral:rRNA from 1 species